rfam:Schistosoma haematobium scaffold1544_10, whole genome shotgun sequence.
AUUCAACUGAAUAGUCCCAAAUAGGAUGAAACGCUCGUCCUGCAU